rnacentral:tRNA from 7 species
GCGGGUUUAGCUCAGUUGGGAGAGCGUCAGACUGAAGCCAAACUUCAAUCAUCUAUCGAUAUCUGAAGGUCAUGUGUUCGAUCCACAUAAACCGCA